AUUGAACGCUGGCGGCAUGCUUUACACAUGCAAGUCGAACGGUAACAGCACUUCGGUGGCUGACGAGUGGCGAACGGGUGAGUAAUACAUCGGAACGUGCCUAGUAGUGGGGGAUAACUACUCGAAAGAGUAGCUAAUACCGCAUGAGAUCUAAGGAUGAAAGCAGGGGACCUUCGGGCCUUGCGCUACUAGAGCGGCUGAUGGCAGAUUAGGUAGUUGGUGGGAUAAAAGCUUACCAAGCCGACGAUCCGUAGCUGGUCUGAGAGGACGACCAGCCACACUGGGACUGAGACACGGCCCAGACUCCUACGGGAGGCAGCAGUGGGGAAUUUUGGACAAUGGGCGCAAGCCUGAUCCAGCAAUGCCGCGUGCAGGAUGAAGGCCUUCGGGUUGUAAACUGCUUUUGUACGGAACGAAAAGCCCUCUUCUAAUACAGGAGGGUCAUGACGGUACCGUAAGAAUAAGCACCGGCUAACUACGUG
rnacentral:rRNA from 1 species